AUUGUGAGGACUCUGCAUUGCUCCAUUUCUUUUUAAAAAUUUUUCUUAAAGAAGGAUUAUAUUGCUCUAUUUCUGUCUCCACCCCAGAAGUCAGCCUUUUCUGAGGUCCAGGUCCACACCUCUGUUCUCUCCCACCCUCACUUCCUCGCACCCUUUUCCCUAGAAAUCCCCUUACGUGGACAGCUUUGCCUCUUACCUGCAUUUUAAUCCUUGCAGCCUCUUAAGCAUCGGUUCCCUUUGAUGAACAGCACUCACCUUAAACUCAAAAAGCAAACCAGUCCUCUCCCCAUAGCAACUGUCCCUUUCUCCCUUCUUGUCUCCCUCAUAUCAUCUUUCUCCAAGUGAUUCAGGUCUUAACCUUGGAACCCUUUUCUCCUUCCUCUCUUCCAUCCAAUGCCUGGGUUCUGUCCAUUUCACCCUAGGCUCUGCCAUCCUCUCUUCCCUGGCCCACUCUGCUCCAUGCUCUCACGGCCUUGGCGUGAACUUGGGAUAAGAUGUAAAUUCCCAGACUCACAAUUUCUGAUCUUUUCUCAGCUGAUUGCUCCUCACAAAGAUGUGUUUGGCCAUGUUUCAGCCUGUUUAAUCUCUGUCCGUCUCACGAGACCCCCUCCAUGGAACCUCACUUCCUUUGAGAAGCCUUCUCUGACAACUGAAGCCAAUGGCAAACACUUUGCCUCCUGAAUUGUGCCAGCAUUUAUAGUCUGCACCAGAAGUCGCAAACAGCCAUAUCUCAUUAAAAAUUGUUAAAAGUUGGUUGUCAUCAUGUGAAAACCAGAUGGUUUGAUGUAACAAUCCCAAUUUCUGGCUUCUGAAAGUUAAGAACAUCUGGCAACAUUGGCUUUGCUUUCCCAUGUGGCAGUGUUGGUUUGGUGCGGAGGAGUGGUUAUCGCCUAUUGGCAGAUCGUGCACUCCCAGCAGGAUUCGUGCCCCUGUGCUACCUAUCCGGCUCCUCUAGACAAUUGCAUUUGCAACCCUUGUCUAUACCAUCGAUCUGCCAUGACUUAGCAAACAUGUCUUGUCUUGUUAUUGACUGUUCUGUGUUUACAUGUGUGUCUUAUAUUCGCUUCACAAUUCAAUCGCCUUCUCCCUGAGGGUGGGGGAUCUCUGUGAACUUUACAUGCCUCCUGCAGUAUCUGACACAUAGUAGGUCUGUUGUUUGAGAGGCCAGUGCCUGAGGUGGAAUUUGCCUUAUGACUUGCUUCUAGGUCAGUGGUUCUCACUUGCACCCUCUGUCAACAUUAUACCAGGCUUGGGGGUGGGGUACACUCUGUCCAGUGUUUACUAGAAAGUUCUAGCAGAGGUUUGAAGCAUGCCCGCCCCUUAAUGUUACAGGGUUGGGCUUGUGGUGAAGGCAAUGGCAGGUGUCAUUUGCAGAACUCCCCUGGGUGAUUCCAGGGCAUCCCCUAGUGGAAGGCUCACGUGGCCAUUUUCAGCCUGUGUUGUAAAUUAUUGCUUUAGAUAAAAGGGACAAAGUAUUUCAGGUAAGGUUUGACCUCUGGGAAGGUCCAGACCCCCAGGUGCGUUUUCUAUUGGAAAUUUCCCUGGCUGGGGCCGGGCCAGAGACGAGGAGGUCUCCCCACAAUUCUGAGAGUGGCUGGUGGCCUGCACCUCAUUUUUGUCCCCCACCUUCCUUUCCCUCACCCCUUUCUUCAGUCUUUACCUCUCGCUCUUUCCAUCCAUUUUUACCUUUUUGCAAGCUCUCGGUUCUAUGGAUUUGUGGGAUUUUAUUUUUCUUCCUUCCCCAUGUGCAAAUCUACCCCUGCUGUGACAUGGGAGAGAGUGUAAGAGGACACACCAGAGUACAUACUGCCUUCUUCCAACCCAGCUUUCUAACAGCAGAGCUGCUAAGGGACCAAUGGCCAGUAAAGGUGCAGAGAAGGACAUGAACCCUUCCUGUUGUUGGAAAGAUAUAAGUGUUUCUCCCUGGAGCAGUUUUCACAACUGAUUUGCCCUCCUUUGCUUCUGCGAGCUGCUCAGAUAGCACUAGAUCUCUGCAGCUUGCACAGGCAGACCAAACUCAACCAGAUACUUCUUAUUCUAAUUCAUAUGUCCGUUCUCUAAAUUCUUCUUUCUGUUUUACUGCUUCAUUGUAUUUGUGCUAAGCUGCCUCAUGACCUGAAGAUAAUCUAAAAUACGGCUUUCCUGCCAUCAGCAUAGCCUUCAGCUGCUGUAGGGCUGCAGAUACUGCAUUUCUUUCCACUCAGAAUUUUUCGGAGCUGUUUGGGGAUGCAGCGUUCUGAAGCACUGCAUGCCGCGGAGAUGUCGCAUCUGAUGGAGAGUAACUGCAACGUGGAGGGUUCACGUUGGCCAUCUCCAGUCUUGUAGGACAGAUGCUUAACUUGUGUUUGAAAUUUUCAGAGAUUAUUUCCAUUUUUGCAUAGCAAAGAAUCUAUUUCUUGUCCUCUAGCUAGAAGGCUUUGCAUGGCUAGAAUAAAUUUCUUUUCAACGAAACAGUAUGCUCUGGCGAAUCUUCCUUUUGGUGCAAGGCAGCCCACUAAACCCGCUGGCGUGUGUUAAUGAAGUGUGGUGCAGGUGCAGUGCACCACUGCAGCUUCUGGGCAGCCUGAGUUGGUGCCAUCUAGGUGCGCUCAGGCUUCUGUUCCACAAGUAACUGCCCCAGCCUGGUCCAUAGUUUGCUGCUCCAGUAGAUGGCAAAUAACAAAAGCAAAUAGAACAAAUGUAUCCCCUCUUCCCACAGCCUCAGCUACCAGUCGGCUAGAAAAGCCCAUUGGGUAGUUGGGGAGAAAAUAGCUUGUUAAUGCCGUGAGUUUGUUGGAUGUCUAACUGAACAAUUUGCUGCUCUAGAUAAGUGGGCGGAAAAACCAGCCUUUGGGACUCCCCUAGAAGAACACCUGAAGAGGAGCGGGCGCGAGAUUGCGCUGCCCAUUGAAGCCUGUGUCAUGCUGCUUCUGGAGACAGGCAUGAAGGAGGAGGGCCUUUUCCGAAUUGGGGCUGGGGCCUCCAAGUUAAAGAAGCUGAAAGCUGCUUUGGACUGUUCUACUUCUCACCUGGAUGAGUUCUAUUCAGACCCCCAUGCUGUAGCAGGUGCUUUAAAAUCCUAUUUACGGGAAUUGCCUGAACCUUUGAUGACUUUUAAUCUGUAUGAAGAAUGGACACAAGUUGCAAGUGUGCAGGAUCAAGACAAAAAACUUCAAGACUUGUGGAGAACAUGUCAGAAGUUGCCACCACAAAAUUUUGUUAACUUUAGAUAUUUGAUCAAGUUCCUUGCAAAGCUUGCUCAGACCAGCGAUGUGAAUAAAAUGACUCCCAGCAACAUUGCGAUUGUGUUAGGCCCUAACUUGUUAUGGGCCAAAAAUGAAGGAACACUUGCUGAAAUGGCAGCAGCCACAUCCGUCCAUGUGGUUGCGGUGAUUGAACCCAUCAUUCAGCAUGCCGACUGGUUCUUCCCUGAAGAGGUGGAAUUUAAUGUAUCGGAAGCAUUUGUACCUCUCACCACCCCGAAUUCUAAUCACUCAUUCCACACUGGAAACGACUCUGACUCGGGGACCCUGGAGAGGAAGCGGCCUGCUAGCAUGGCGGUGAUGGAAGGAGACUUGAUGAAGAAGGAAAGCUUUGGUGUGAAGCUUAUGGACUUCCAGGCCCACCGGCGGGGUGGCACUCUAAAUAGAAAGCACAUAUCCCCCGCUUUCCAGCCGCCACUUCCGCCCACAGAUGGCAGCACCGUGGUGCCCGCUGGCCCAGAGCCCCCUCCCCAGAGCUCUAGGGCUGAAAGCAGCUCUGGGGGUGGGACUGUCCCCUCCUCCGCGGGCAUACUGGAGCAGGGGCCGAGCCCAGGCGAUGGCAGUCCUCCCAAACCGAAGGACCCUGUAUCUGCAGCUGUGCCAGCACCAGGGAGAAACAACAGUCAGAUAGCCUCUGGCCAAAACCAGCCCCAGGCAGCUGCUGGCUCCCACCAGCUCUCUGUGGGCCAACCUCACAAUGCUGCAGGGCCCAGCCCGCAUACACUGCGCAGAGCUGUUAAAAAACCCGCUCCAGCACCUCCGAAACCAGGCAACCCACCUCCUGGACACCCCGGGGGCCAGAGUUCUUCAGGAACAUCUCAGCAUCCACCCAGUCUGUCACCAAAGCCACCCACCCGAAGCCCCUCUCCUCCCACCCAGCACACGGGCCAGCCUCCAGUCCAGCCCUCCGCCCCCUCCCAGCUCUCAGCACCCCGGAGGUACUCCAGCAGCCUGUCUCCAAUCCAAGCUCCCAAUCACCCGCCGCCGCAGCCCCCUACGCAGGCCACGCCACUGAUGCACACCAAACCCAAUAGCCAGGGCCCUCCCAACCCCAUGGCAUUGCCCAGUGAGCAUGGACUUGAGCAGCCAUCUCACACCCCUCCCCAGACUCCAACGCCUCCCAGUACUCCGCCCCUAGGAAAACAGAACCCCAGUCUGCCAGCUCCUCAGACCCUGGCGGGGGGUAACCCUGAGACUGCACAGCCACAUGCUGGAACCUUACCGAGACCGAGACCAGUACCAAAGCCAAGGCACCGGCCCAGCGUGCCCCCCCCCCCCAACCUCCUGGUGUCCACUCAGCUGGGGACAGCAGCCUCACCAGCACAGCACCAACAGCUUCCAAGAUAGUAACAGACUCCAAUUCCAGGGUUUCAGAACCGCAUCGCAGCAUCUUUCCUGAAAUGCACUCAGACUCAGCUAGCAAAGACGUGCCUGGCCGCAUCCUGCUGGAUAUAGACAAUGACACCGAGAGCACUGCCCUGUGAAGAAAGCCCUCUCCCAGCCCUCCACCCCUUCCACCCUGGUGAGUGGAGCAGGGGCAGGCGAACCUCUUCCUUUGCAGACCAAACAGUGAAAAGCUUUCAGUGGAGGACAAAGGAGGGCCUCACUGUGCGGGACCUGGCCUUCUGCACGGCCCAAGGAGAACCUGGAGGCCACCACUAAAGCUGAAUGACCUGUGUCUUGAAGAAGUUGGCUUUCUUUACGUGGGAAGGAAAUCAUGCC
rnacentral:sRNA from 1 species